ensembl:snRNA U1 U1 spliceosomal RNA
AUACUUACAUAGCAGGGGAGACAUGGUGACCACCAAGGUGGUUCCUCCAGGGUGAGGCCCAUACAUUGCACUUAGGACACACUGACCUUUGCGAUUUCCCCAGAUGUGGGAAACUCAACUGUGCAAUUUCUUUUUUUUUAAUGCUUAUUUUCAUUUUC